CACUCCUAACUCGUCAAAUAAGGCAGCUUGGUCCUACGUUUCAAACUAUGACGCGCUACGUAACCCCUCUAGCGUCAUAGUUUUAAACGUA